AGUGAACGCUGGCGGUAGGCCUAACACAUGCAAGUCGAACGGCAGCACAGUAAGAGCUUGCUCUUACGGGUGGCGAGUGGCGGACGGGGGAGGAAUACAUCGGAAUCUACUUUGUCGUGGGGGAUAACGUAGGGGAACUUACGCUAAUACCGCAUACGACGUACGGGUGAAAGCAGGGGAUCUUCGGACCUUGCGCGAGUGAAUGAGCCGAUGUCGGAUUAGCUAGUUGGCGGGGUAAAGGCCCACCAAGGCGACGAUCCGUAGCUGGUCUGAGAGGAUGAUCAGUCACACUGGAACUGAGACACGGUCCAGACUCCUACGGGAGGCAGCAGUGGGGAAUAUUGGACAAUGGGCGCAAGCCUGAUCCAGCCAUGCCGCGUGGGUGAAGAAGGCCUUCGGGUUGUAAAGCCCUUUUGUUGGGAAAGAAAAGCAGCAGGUUAAUACCCCGCUGUUCUGACGGUACCCAAAGAAUAAGCACCGGCUAACUUCGUG
rnacentral:rRNA from 1 species